rnacentral:lncRNA from 1 species
AUGGUAGUUGCUUAAGGUGUCCAUGGUUGACAUAUGGAUGACAUAUGGGCUAUUGGUCAACAUGGUUGUUGCUUACGGUGUCCAUGGUUGAAUGUAGGCCAUUAGUCAACAUGGUAGUUGAUUAUGGUGUCCAUGGUUGACAUAUGGAUAACAUAUGAGCCAUUGGUCAACAUGGUUGUUGCUUAUCGUGUCCAUGGUUGACAUAUGGGCCAUUAGUCAACAUGGUAGUUGCUUAAGGUGUCCAUGGUUAACAUAUGGGCCAUUGGUCAACAUGGAGUUGAGUAUGGUGUCCAUGGUUGACAUAUGGAUGACAUAUCGGCCCUUAGUCAACAUCCUAGUUGCUUAUGGUGUCCAUGGUUGACAUAUGGAUGACAUAUGGGCCAUUGGUCAACAUGGUAGUUUCUUAUGGUAUCAAUGGUUGACGUAUGGAUGAUAUAUGGGCGAUUGGUCAACAUGGUUGUUGCUUAUGGUGUCCAUGGUUGAUAUAUGGGCCAUUGGUCAACAUGGUAAUUGCUUAUGGUGUCAAUGGUUGACAUAUCGAUGACAUAUGGUCCAUUGUUGAACAUGGUAGUUGAUUAUGGUGUCCAUAGUUGACAUAUGGAUGACAUGUGGGCCAUUGGUCAACAUGGUUGUUGCUUAUGGUGUCCAUGGUUGACAUAUGGGCCAUUGGUCAACAUGGUAGUUGCUUAUGGUGUCCAUGGUUGACAUAUGGAUGACAUAUGGGCCAUUGGUCAAGAUGGUUGUUGCUUACGGUUUCCAUUGUCGACAUAUGGUCCAUUGUUCAACAUGGUCGUUGCUUAUGGUGUCCAUGGUUGACAUAUGGGCAGUUGGUCAACAUGGUUGUUUCUUAAGUUGUUCAUGCUUGAUAUAUGGAUUACAUAUGGGCUAUUGGUCAACAUGGUUGUUACUUAUGGUGUUCAUGGUUGACAUAAGGGCCAUUGGUCAACAUGGUAGUUGAUUAUGGUGUCCAUGGUUGACUUAUGGAUGACAUAUGGGCCAUUGGUCAAUAUGGCUAUUGCUUAUGGUGUCCAUGGUUGACAUAUGGGCCAUUGGUAAACAUGGUAGUUUCUUAUGGUGUCCAUGGAUGACAUACCGGCGAUUAGUCAACAUGGUAGUUGAUUAUGGUGUCCAUGGUUGACUUAUGGAUGACAUAUGGGCCAUUGGUCAAUAUGGCUAUUGCUUAUGGUGUCCAUGGUUGACAUAUGGGCCAUUGGUAAACAUGGUAGUUUCUUAUGGUGUCCAUGGAUGACAUACCGGCGAUUAGUCAACAUGGUAGUUGAUUAUGGUGUCCAUAGUUGACAUAUGGAUGACAUAUGGGCCAUUGGUCAACAUGGUUGUUGCUUAUGAUGUCUAUGAUUGACAUAUGGACCAUUGGUCAACAUGGCAGUUGCUUAUGUUGUCCAUGGUUAACAUAUGGAUGACAUAUAGGCCGUUGGUCAACAUGGUUGUUGCUUAUGGUGUCCAUGGUUGACAUAUGGUCCAUUGGUCAACAUGCUAGUUGCUUAUGGUGUCCAUGGUUGACAUAUGGGCCAUUGGUCAAGAUGGUUGUUUCUUAUGGUGUCCAUGGUUGACAUAUGGAUGUCAUAUGGGCUAUUAGACAACAUGGUAGUUGCUUACGGUGUCCAUGAUUGACAUAUGGGCCAUUGGUCAACAUGGUAGUUGUUUAAGGUGUCCAUGGUUGACAUAUGGACUAUUAGACAACAUGGUAGUUGCUUACGGUGUCCAUGAUUGACAUAUGGGCCAUUGGUCAACAUGGUAGUUGCUUAAGGUGUCCAUGGUUGACAUAUGGAUGACAUAUGGGCUAUUGGUCAACUUGGUUGUUGCUUACGGUGUCCAUGUUUGACAUGUGGGCCAUUGGUCAACAUGGUAGUUGAGUAUGGUGUCUAUGGUUGACAUAUGGGCCCUUGGUC